GAUGAACGCUAGCUACAGGCUUAACACAUGCAAGUCGAGGGGUAACGAGAGGAAAGCUUGCUUUCCUUGUCGACGACCGGCGCACGGGUGAGUAACGCGUAUCCAACCUGCCCCCAACUAGGGAAUAACCUUGCGAAAGUAAGACUAAUACCCUAUAAUUUCCUCAGAUGACAUCUGACGAGGAAUAAAGAUUUAUCGGUUGUGGAUGGGGAUGCGUCUGAUUAGCUUGUUGGCGGGGUAACGGCCCACCAAGGCAACGAUCAGUAGGGGUUCUGAGAGGAAGGUCCCCCACAUUGGAACUGAGACACGGUCCAAACCCCUACGGGAGGCAGCAGUGAGGAAUAUUGGUCAAUGGGCGGAAGCCUGAACCAGCCAAGUAGCGUGCAGGAUGACGGCCCUAUGGGUUGUAAACUGCUUUUAUACAGGAAUAAAGUUAGCCACGUGUGGUUAUUUGCAGGUACUGUAUGAAUAAGGACCGGCUAAUUCCGUGCCAGCCGCCGCUGUAA
rnacentral:rRNA from 1 species